GACGAACGCUGGCGGCGUGCUUAACACAUGCAAGUCGAACGGAAAGGCCCUGCUUUUGUGGGGUGUUCGAGUGGCGAACGGGUGAGUAACACGUGAGUAACCUGCCCUUGACUUUGGGAUAACUUCAGGAAACUGGGGCUAAUACCGGAUAGGAGCUCCUGCUGCAUGGUGGGGGUUGGAAAGUUUCGGCGGUUGGGGAUGGACUCGCGGCUUAUCAGCUUGUUGGUGGGGUAGUGGCUUACCAAGGCUUUGACGGGUAGCCGGCCUGAGAGGGUGACCGGCCACAUUGGGACUGAGAUACGGCCCAGACUCCUACGGGAGGCAGCAGUGGGGAAUAUUGCACAAUGGGCGGAAGCCUGAUGCAGCAACGCCGCGUGCGGGAUGACGGCCUUCGGGUUGUAAACCGCUUUCGCCUAUGACGAAGCGUGAGUGACGGUAAUGGGUAAAGAAGCACCGGCUAACUACGUG
rnacentral:rRNA from 1 species